GAUGAACGCUGGCGGCGUGCCUAAUACAUGCAAGUCGAGCGAACAGACGAGGAGCUUGCUCCUCUGACGUUAGCGGCGGACGGGUGAGUAACACGUGGAUAACCUACCUAUAAGACUGGGAUAACUUCGGGAAACCGGAGCUAAUACCGGAUAAUAUAUUGAACCGCAUGGUUCAAUAGUGAAAGACGGUUUUGCUGUCACUUAUAGAUGGAUCCGCGCCGCAUUAGCUAGUUGGUAAGGUAACGGCUUACCAAGGCAACGAUGCGUAGCCGACCUGAGAGGGUGAUCGGCCACACUGGAACUUAGACACGGUCCAGACUCCUACGGGAGGCAGCAGUAGGGAAUUUUCCGCAAUGGGCGAAAGCCUGACGGAGCAACGCCGCGUGAGUGAUGAAGGUCUUUGGAGCGUAAAACCCUGUUAUUAGGGAAGAACAAAUGUGUAAGUAACUAAGGCCGGCUUGACGGUACCUAAUCAGAAAGCCACGGCUAACUACGUG
rnacentral:rRNA from 1 species